AUGUUGGUGAUUAGAUCCUCAUCAUUCUCAUCAAGUUCAACAAGAUCAUCAUCUCGGAUCAAGAAAUCAUAGUAUCUGCCCAACUGACAUGGUACUCUAUCGGAUCUUCUUAAAGGUGCCUCAAUAAUGGGUUCUGGAUUUAAUCUAAUCAAAUCCAAUUCUAUAUUUUCACUGGUCUGUGUCGAUUCUUCUACCUAUUGAACUUCAUCAAGUUCAACCUUAGAGUCAUUAGUUCUUUUACCAAGAAAUUUUUUUUUUAAAAAGACUGCUUUAUUGCUGAUGAACAUCUUUUAUUCUUAAGCAAGAUAGAAGUAGUAUGCCCUUGAUUCCUUGGUGUACCCUAUAAACAAGUACUUAUCGGAUCGAGAUCCAAGUUUAUCGAUC
rnacentral:lncRNA from 1 species